CCCUUAGAUGUCCGGGGCCGCACGCGCGCUACAAUGGAUGAAUCAACGCGUCAUCCUGGCCCGAAAGGGUUGGGGAACCGCUGAACCUCAUCCGUGGUUGGGAUUGGGGUUUGUAAUUAUUCCCCAUGAACUAGGAAUUCCCAGUAAGCGCGAGUCAUAAGCUCGCGUUGAUUACGUCCCUGCCCUUUGUACACACCGCCCGUCGCUACUACCGAUUGGACGGUUUAGUGAGAUCCUCGGAUUGGUCACGGCACGGUGGCAACACUGCGUCGGUGUGCCGAGAAGACGAUCAAACUUGAUCAUCUAGAGGAAGUAAAAGUCGUAACA
rnacentral:rRNA from 1 species